AGGAUGAACUCUAGUUCUGAGAGGAAAGGCACUCCGAGGUUUGGAGUGGGCCACCUGAACUUGACCCUCAGGGCAGAUAUCCUAGAGUUCCAAGGAAGGCCCAGGCUGGACCAAGGAGCCACCUCCAGAGCGCUUCUGUGGUGACACAGAGCACGAAGGGUUCUUCCCCACCCAGGCUCUGCUCUUGUCUUGCUCUGGGGGAACUCAUGGGACCUGGACUGCCCGGGGAGGCUGGUGGUGGGUGGGGCAGAAGGAAUGCAGCUCUGGCGCUCAGCCCAGAGGCUUUGGGUCUGCCUGAGGCAGCCUUGGGGGGUGUACCUGGCUGGGACCAAGGGCUCUGUGGCUGAAUUCAGUGUGGCAAACUCUGCUCUAGCCUAGGG
rnacentral:lncRNA from 1 species